rnacentral:rRNA from 1 species
UAACAAGGAUUCCCCUAGUAACUGCGAGUGAAGCGGGAAAAGCUCAAAUUUAAAAUCUGACAGUUUCACUGUCCGAGUUGUAAUCUGGAGAAGCAUUUUCCGUGUCGGACCGUGUACAAGUCUCUUGGAAUAGAGCGUCAUAGAGGGUGAGAAUCCCGUCCAUGACACGGACUACCGAUGCUUUGUGAUAUGCUCUCGAAGAGUCGAGUUGUUUGGGAAUGCAGCUCAAAAUGGGUGGUAAAUUCCAUCUAAAGCUAAAUAUUGGCGAGAGACCGAUAGCGAACAAGUACCGUGAGGGAAAGAUGAAAAGCACUUUGGAAAGAGAGUUAAACAGUACGUGAAAUUGUUGAAAGGGAAACGCUUGAAGUCAGUCGCGUUGAUUGAGACUCAGCCUUGCUUUGCAUGGUGUACUUCUCAGUUAACGGGUCAACAUCAAUUUCAGUUGGUGGAUAAAGGCAUUGGGAAUGUGGCACCUUCGGGUGUGUUAUAGACCUUUGUUGCAUACACUGACCGGGAUUGAGGAACGCAGCACGCCACUAAGGCCAGGGGUUCGCCCCAUGUAACGUGCUUAGGAUGUUGGCAUAAUGGCUUUAAGCGACCCGUCUUGAAACACGGACCAAGGAGUCUAACAUGCCUGCGAGUAUUAGGGUGGAAAACCCUUGUGCGUAAUGAAAGUGAAAGUUGGGACCUCUUGCGAGGGCACCGACGCCUGGCCCUGAAGUUUACUGACGGCGCUGCGGUAGAGCAUGUAUGUUGGGACCCGAAAGAUGGUGAACUAUGCCUGAAUAGGGUGAAGCCAGGGGAAACUCUGGUGGAGGCUCGUAGCGAUUCUGACGUGCAAAUCGAUCGUCAAAUUUGGG